rnacentral:rRNA from 1 species
GAUGAACGCUAGCGGCAGGCUUAACACAUGCAAGUCGGACGGGAUCGGGGCUUCGGCCCCGUGAGAGUGGCGGAUGGGUGAGUAACGCGUAUGCAACCUGCCCCGUGCCGGGGGGUAGCCCGCCCAAAGGCGGAUUAGACCCCCGCGAUGCGCCGGGACCGCAUGGUCCGGGCGCGAUAGCCGCGAGGCGGCGCGGGAUGGGCAUGCGGGCCAUUAGCUAGACGGCGGGGUAACGGCCCACCGUGGCGACGAUGGCUAGGGGGCCUGAGAGGGCGACCCCCCACAUUGGGACUGAGACACGGCCCAAACUCCUACGGGAGGCAGCAGUGAGGAAUAUUGGUCAAUGGGCGGAAGCCUGAACCAGCCAUGCCGCGUGCCGGAAGACGGCCCUACGGGCUGUAAACGGCUUUUGGCGGGGAGGAAUAAGGGCCGUUCUGGGCCCGAUGCCCGUACCCGCCGAAUAAGGAUCGGCUAACUCCGUGCCAGCAGCCGCGGUAAUACGGGGGAUCCGAGCGUUAUCCGGAUUUACUGGGUUUAAAGGGUGCGCAGGCGGCGGGGUCCGUCCGCGGUGAAACGCCGGGGCUCAACCCCGGCCUUGCCGUGGAAACCGCCCCGCUUGGAUACGGUCGAGGCUGGCGGAACGCGUGGUGUAGCGGUGAAAUGCUUAGAGAUCACGUGGAAGGCCGAUUGCGGAGGCAGCUGGCCAGGCCGGGAUUGACGCUGAGGCACGAAAGCGUGGGGAGCGAACAGG